rnacentral:rRNA from 1 species
AGUGAACGCUGGCGGUAGGCCUAACACAUGCAAGUCGAACGGCAGCACAGGAGAGCUUGCUCUCUGGGUGGCGAGUGGCGGACGGGUGAGGAAUACAUCGGAAUCUACUCUGUCGUGGGGGAUAACGUAGGGAAACUUACGCUAAUACCGCAUACGACCUACGGGUGAAAGCAGGGGAUCUUCGGACCUUGCGCGAUUGAAUGAGCCGAUGUCGGAUUAGCUAGUUGGCGGGGUAAAGGCCCACCAAGGCGAGGAUCCGUAGCUGGUCUGAGAGGAUGAUCAGCCACACUGGAACUGAGACACGGUCCAGACUCCUACGGGAGGCAGCAGUGGGGAAUAUUGGACAAUGGGCGCAAGCCUGAUCCAGCCAUACCGCGUGGGUGAAGAAGGCCUUCGGGUUGUAAAGCCCUUUUGUUGGGAAAGAAAUCCAGCUGGCUAAUACCCGGUUGGGAUGACGGUGCCCAAAGAAUAAGCACCGGCUAACUUCGUGCCAGCCGCCGCCGUAA